rnacentral:rRNA from 1 species
GCAGCCGCGGUAAUACGUAGGGAGCGAGCGUUAUCCGGAUUUAUUGGGUGUAAAGGGUGCGUAGGCGGUUUAACAGGUCUAUGGUCUAAUUCCGAAGCUUAACUUCGGUUCGCCAUAGAAACCGUUUUACUUGAGUAUGGUAGAGGCAAGUGGAAUUUCUAGUGUAGCGGUUAAAUGCGUAGAUAUUAGAAGGAACACCAGUGGCGAAGGCGACUUGCUGGGCCAUCACUGACGCUGAGGCACGAAAGCGUGGGGAGCAAAUAGGAUUAGAUACCCC